UGUAUAUGUAAAUCCUAGAUGUGAAAAUAGGCAUAAUUCAUCCUAAAAGGGUAUAAAGAAUAGAUAGGCGGAAAUCCAAUAUCUAUUCAAAAAAAAAAAGAACAAUGGCCAAUUAGAUCGAAAUAAUGAAUCAUAAAUGGAGUUCGGGUUCGAAUUCUAUAGAUAAUAGAAUCUAAUACGGAUGGUUUUUCUAUAAUGAUAGAGAAAUGAAAGAGACUUACUCGUGAUUUCAUGUACUUAAUAUUUCUUUUGAAAAAAAGAAGGAUUGGCUGAACUUGAAAAUUGACUCAUUGAAUGAGUAAUUGAAUGAGUAAACGAUUGAAUCGUAUUCGGUUGGGUGGUACCAACUAAAUCAAGUGCUAACUCCCAUUUAUUUCUUAUUGAAUUAACCGAUCAACUUGCUAUCGGACAUUUAUUUUCGACUUGGCAUGGCACUAUUCAAAAAAACUUUCGACAUACUUUACUUUAAUUAUAAUUAUGAGAAUCAAUCCUACCCCUUCUAGUCCUGCGGUUUCCACACUUGAAGAACAAAACCUAGGGCGUAUCGCUCAAAUUAUUGGCCCAGUACUGGAUGUUGUUUUUCCUCCGGGCAAGAUGCCUAAUAUUUAUAACGCUUUGGUAGUUUAAGGAAGGUCGUUUCGAAGAGAUACUAUUGGUCAGCAAAUUAAUGUGACUUGUGAGGUACAACAAUUAUUAGGAAAUAAUCGAGUUAGAGCUGUAGCUAUGAGUGCUACAGAUGGACUGAUGAGAGGAAUGGAAGUGAUUGACACGGGAGCUCCUCUAAGCGUUCCAGUCGGUGGAGCUACCCUCGGACGAAUUUUCAACGUUCUUGGGGAGCCUGUUGAUAAUUUAGGUCCUGUAGAUACUAGCACAACAUCUCCUAUUCAUAGACCUGCACCUGCCUUUAUACAGUUAGAGACGAAAUUAUCAAUCUUUGAAACAGGAAUUAAAGUAGUGGAUCUUUUAGCUCCUUAUCGCCGUGGAGGAAAAAUCGGACUAUUUGGAGGAGCUGGAGUAGGUAAAACAGUACUCAUCAUGGAAUUGAUCAACAACAUUGCCAAAGCUCAUGGAGGCGUAUCUGUAUUUGGCGGAGUAGGCGAACGUACUCGUGAAGGAAAUGAUCUUUACAUGGAAAUGAAAGAAUCCGGAGUAAUUAAUGAAAAAAAUAUUGCAGAAUCAAAAGUAGCUCUAGUCUACGGUCAAAUGAAUGAACGCCGGGAGCUCGUAUGAGAGUUGGUUUGACUGCCCUAACUAUGGCGGAAUAUUUCCGGGAUGUUAAUGAACAAGACGUACUUCUAUUCAUCGACAAUAUCUUUCGUUUCGUCCAAGCAGGAUCAGAAGUAUCCGCCUUAUUGGGGAGAAUGCCUUCUGCAGUGGGUUAUCAACCUACCCUUAGUACAGAAAUGGGUUCUUUGCAAGAAAGAAUUACUUCUACCAAAGAGGGAUCUAUAACUUCGAUCCAAGCCGUUUAUGUACCUGCGGACGAUUUGACCGACCCUGCUCCUGCCACGACAUUUGCACAUUUAGAUGCUACUACCGUAUUAUCGAGAGGAUUAGCUGCCAAAGGUAUUUAUCCAGCAGUGGAUCCUUUAGAUUCAACGUCAACUAUGUUACAACCUCGGAUCGUUGGCGAGGAACAUUAUGAAACUGCGCAAAGAGUUAAGCAAACUUCACAACGUUACAAAGAACUUCAGGACAUUAUAGCUAUUCUUGGGUUGGACGAAUUAUCCGAAGAAGAUCGUUUAACUGUAGCAAGAGCACGAAAAAUCGAGCGUUUCUUAUCACAACCCUUCUUCGUGGCAGAAGUAUUUACUGGUUCUCCAGGAAAAUAUGUUGGUCUUGCAGAAACAAUUAGGGGGUUUCAACUGAUCCUUUCCGGAGAAUUAGACAGUCUUCCCGAGCAGGCCUUUUAUUUAGUAGGUAACAUCGAUGAAGCUACCGCGAAAGCUAUGAACUUAGAAGAGGAGAGCAAAUUGAAGAAAUGACCUUAAAUCUUUGUGUACUGACUCCUAAUCGAAUUAUUUGGGACUCAGAAGUGAAAGAAAUAAUUUUAUCUACUAAUAGUGGCCAAAUUGGCGUAUUACCAAACCACGCCCCUAUUGCCACGGCUGUAGAUAUAGGUCUUUUGAGAAUACGCCUCAACAACGACCAAUGGGUUAACGGUGGCUCUGAUGGGUGGUUUCGCUAGAAUAGGUAAUAAUGAAAUCACCAUUUUAGGAAAUGAUGCGGAAAUAAGUACUGACAUUGAUCCGCAAGAAGCUCAACAAGCUCUUGAAAUAGCUGAAGCUAACUUGAGUAGAGCUGAGGGUAAGAGACAAGCAAUUGAAGCGAAUCUAGCUCUCAGACGAGCUAGGACACGAGUAGAGGCUGUCAAUGUUAUUUCCUACUAGUCAAGUCAAUACAUCAAAAUAAUAAAGAGAAGUUUUUAAAAAGUUCUUUAUUAUACACCACAUGUUGAUUCUGCCAAUUGAACACAAUCAAGUCUAAUCUGAUAAAACAAAAAAAGAAGAUGGGGUAGAAAAACUUAUUAGAUAUCAUUUCAUCGACUCCGGUAUCUAAUAAGUUCUACCUACUAUUGGAUUUGAACCAAUGACUCCCGCCGUAUGAAAGCAAUACUCUAACCACUGAGUUAAGUAGGUCAUUUAUCACCACAAAAAGAACCCAUCACUUCGGGGAUUAUAGGUGGAAUAUUAUUUCUAAGCAAUACUAAUCUGUUCUGUUAAGCGUAAAUAAAUCUGUUCUGUUAAGCGUAAAUAAAAUAAAUAGAUCAGAGAGCUAUGAUGUGGAUUAUGGAAUAUCCAUCUUGACAAGAAAUUAUCUAUAUGUUAAGAUGUCUAUGACAAGGGCUAUAGCUCAGUUGGUAGAGCACCUCGUUUACACGCGCGCCAAUGCUUUUCAAAGGAGCCUAUUAUGCAAUGAACAUAAUUGAUCGUAUUGAGAAAUCGAUGUCUUACUCCAUAGGUUCGAGGGAACAAGAGAACAAUAGCCUGACAAAUAUUUGGUUCGGUCCGAUUCAGGCGCGAAUUCAGUUGCCAAAUCAAAUAGAACCCGCCAUUGAUUUGAUAGUUGAUAAGGUAAAUACCCAGCCCAUUCAAUGCUAGGCAUAAUGAGUAUAAGGGCCUCAAAAUAACCUCUUUUCGUCCUAUGAACUUUAAGGUGUAUGAAGUCUCAUAUUCGACUGUUGCAGCGGAGCGAUAGAGAUUCCAUUUAACUUAGGUUGAUCUAGGCCGAAGGCAGACCUAAGUCAAGAUAACCCUUCUUUGAAACACUUUGGUAUUGCUCCUAGAUCAGAAUACAAAUAAUAAAUCAGAGCACAUGGAACCAUCUCAUUAUCUUCCUCUAAAGAAAAAAUAUGGUGGACUAACUGAUCUUUACAUCAGUUGAUGAAAGAGCCCAAUGCAACAAAAUGCAUGUUGGGUCUUUGAAACAGUUCGAAUCAUUUCGAUAAUAAUCAGUUUGAUCUGUUUUACCGAGAAGGUCUACGGUUCGAGUCCGUAUAGCCCUA